AGCUCAGCACUCACACUUGCCCAAUGC
rnacentral:piRNA from 1 species